rnacentral:rRNA from 1 species
CUGGCGGCAGGCCUAACACAUGCAAGUCGAGGGGGAAGCCCUUUCGGGUGGUGGAGACCGGCGCACGGGUGAGUAACGCGUGGGAACCUGCCCUGGGGUGGGGGAUAACCGCUGGAAACGGCGGCUAAUACCGCAUACGCCUUUUUGGGAAAGAUUUAUCGCCCUGGGAUGGGCCCGCGUUGGAUUAGCUAGUUGGUGGGGUAAAGGCCUACCAAGGCUUCGAUCCAUAGCUGGUCUGAGAGGAUGAUCAGCCACACUGGGACUGAGACACGGCCCAGACUCCUACGGGAGGCAGCAGUGGGGAAUAUUGGACAAUGGGGGCAACCCUGAUCCAGCCAUGCCGCGUGCGUGAAGAAGGCCUUAGGGUUGUAAAGCGCUUUCACCGGUGACGAUGAUGACGGUAGCCGGAGAAGAAGCCCCGGCUAACUCCGUGCCAGCAGCCGCGGUAAU